UACGUAGGGAGCAAGCGUUGUCCGGAAUCAUUGGGCGUAAAGCGCGCGUAGGUGGCUCCAUAAGUCCGUUGUGAAAGUCAAAGGCUCAACCUUUUGAAAGCCGAUGGAUACUGUGGAGCUAGAGUACGGAAGAGGCGAGUGGAAUUCCUGGUGUAGCGGUGGAAUGCGCAGAUAUCAGGAGGAACACCAAUAGCGAAGGCAGCUCGCUGGGACGUUACUGACACUGAGGCGCGAAAGCGUGGGGAGCGAACAGG
rnacentral:rRNA from 1 species